rnacentral:snRNA from 1 species
GGAUGUGAGGGCGAUCUGGCUGCGACAUCUGUCACCCCGUUGAUCGCCAGGGUUGAUGCAGCUGAUCUGGGUGCUUAGGCAGGUGUCCUCUUCCUCUCUCAUUGCUCCAUGUGCAUCCCUCCCAAAGCUGCACCCUCAGUUGAAGAGGAUAACCAUGCCCAUAGAGGAGGACCAGUCUUCGGUCAAGGGUAUAUGAGUAGCUGCACUUCCGUGCUAGAACCUCCAAACAAGCUCUCAAGGUCCAUUAGAUUUAAUGAAAACCAUAAGCCAGACCAUAAAUAGUGUGGCAUUUU